UUCGAGGGGCGCUGCAGCAGGUUCUCCUGUCAGGCUCGAACAGGUUGCCUUCCAGUUGUUGAUACGACUGCAUAUUUGUAAACGGCGCCCAUUCG
rnacentral:ncRNA from 1 species